GAUGAACGCUGGCGGCGUGCCUAAUACAUGCAAGUCGAGCGAACGGACGAGAAGCUUGCUUCUCUGAUGUUAGCGGCGGACGGGUGAGUAACACGUGGAUAACCUACCUAUAAGACUGGGAUAACUUCGGGAAACCGGAGCUAAUACCGGAUAAUAUUUUGAACCGCAUGGUUCAAAAGUGAAAGACGGUCUUGCUGUCACUUAUAGAUGGAUCCGCGCUGCAUUAGCUAGUUGGUAAGGUAACGGCUUACCAAGGCAACGAUGCAUAGCCGACCUGAGAGGGUGUUCGGCCACACUGGAACUGAGACACGGUCCAGACUCCUACGGGAGGCAGCAGUAGGGAAUAUUCCGCAAUGGGCGAAAGCCUGACGGAGCAACGCCGCGUGAGUGAUGAAGGUCUUCGGAUCGUAAAACUCUGUUAUUAGGGAAGAACAUAUGUGUAAGUAACUGUGCACAUCUUGACGGUACCUAAUCAGAAAGCCACGGCUAACUACGUG
rnacentral:rRNA from 1 species